CUGAAUUCAUGCUGCACCUUUUUGGUUACUAGCACUCUUCACAUAAAAGCAUCUAUCACAUCAUUUCUCGUACCAUCUGGUAAAAAACAACCCCUGAUGCCAAACAGCCCCUCUUUGUGAUGAGACUGAAGGAAAAACCUGGACUUCAGUGGGGAGCACUAAGGUAUCAAGGCAAGAAAAAGAGGAUGGAACUUUGCUACUGAACCAUGAGCAAAGGAGUUCUAAAUAUUUUGGCUUCACCUGAUUUGCGGAGUCACCCAUAAAUCCUGGAAUUGUAAUUGAUGUGAUGUAUUUAGAGUAAUGUAAAAAAAGAGAUGAGAAUGCUUUUAUCAAAAUUCAAAA